rnacentral:lncRNA from 1 species
GCUUGAGGUUCCAUCCCAAAGAACAUAGAAUGAGCAGGGACGGAAGGAUGCACCGCUCAGACCUUGACUAGAGCACUGUCAGCUGUGGGUAUUGGAGGGUCUGCCUCUGAAUUCAACCAACCACAAAAAUAAUUCAGAGAAAGAAUGUGUCUGUACUAAACAUGUACAGACUUAUUAUUCCCUAAACAGUAGAGAAUGACUUUAACAUGAGCACUUACAUCGUAUUAGGUUCCGUGAGUCACGUGGGGAUGGUUUGGAGUGCGGGAGGCUAUGCGUGGGGUGUAGACAGAUACUAUGCCGUUUACAAGGGGCUUUGAUAUCUGAGAGGGACUCCUGAAACCCCACCAGCUGUACUCCUGCCUUCAUAGUUGGGAUUUUAUAGCUAAGUAACAAGAGGUCAGAACAAAGCUCAGGGUGGGAUUCUUUCUUUUUUAAUUUUGUGGUGCUGGGGAUCAAACCCAGGGCCUUGCGAAUACUAGGCAAGUGCUCUACCAGCUGAGCUCCAUCUCCCACCCCGGCCGGGUUUCCUUAAGCCUGCUUGAUGUCCUGAGUGGUAGGCACCUGAGAACUCUCAAACCUCGCAGGGAGAAGACUAACCGCAGUGCUGCUGUCGGCUGCAUCUGGGGAGGAUCAUCCAGCUCUGUCACCCAUGCCUUUCCAGUCACUUUCUGCCAACCUGGGGAGGAAAGGAGCAUGAAUUCAAAACACCCAAAUUUGGGUUCCAGGAUCCAACAGAGACAAAACUAGCUGCCCCAAUCCAGAGUAGGGCAGGGCUUCAGUUUUUUUAAGUUGCAUUCAAGGCUGGGCAUCAGGCACGGGGUGACUUAGGCCAGUCCCAUCCACUGUGUCACUUCACUCCCCGUCUUCUGAGUUCUUCCUUUCCCACCCAAGAGACUUCACAUUAGGUGCUUGGCAUGACUUGUGGCUCACAGCACUCAGUGAAAGGUGGGCACCCUCAUUAGUGCUUUUACCCUGGGCCUCCCUGCCUCCGGGCGGGGCGCUCUGAGUGCACCAGCGUGAC